rnacentral:lncRNA from 1 species
UGUGGCAUUAUGAACAACAUUUUAUUUUCUUCUUUACACUUAUAGUUAUUAAAGAAAGUUGAAUCCAUUUUCAGUUUUUCCAAUAUUUCAUCAUGAAGAUUGUCAACAAGGCCAUUUAGAGGAAGUUCUCUCUCUCAGCUCACUGGUCUGUUCAGUUGCGCAGGGUGUCGUCCUGCAUGCGGCCAGGUACACCUGCUGGGCAGGUGUUGCCCAGGAUGUUUGGGAUGACGACUGCUGUGUGUUACCAAGGGUCCUCUCUAUGAUGAGAUCUGUCUUUCCCCUUCCUGGGGCCCACCAUGAGGACAAAGAAAUAACAUUUACUGAACACCUGCCAUAUGCAAUGGACUAUUCCAGGGGCAGUAAAUUCUCUGGCCCCAAGUGUCAUCAGACCUGCGUGGGUAGCAGACCUGUAACCAUACCCAAGGCGGGCUGCUCAACAGAAGAGAUGAGAGUCAAAUGGAGGAGGGGACCAAUUUGGCUAGGGAGGUGACCUUCUACCCGGUGGUGACAUUGCAGCUGAGGCCUGGGUAGGCGCUUGCUAAGCUGAGCAGGGCUAAGAAGGAAGAAGCUUCCAGCUUGAGGAAAUGGAGGUGGGAAAGGGCAAGCGCACUUCAGGUCUCUGCAUGGCUCUCCUUGGUCAGAGGGCAGGAGCAGACCAGAGAAGGAGCUGGAAAGCUAAGUCCAGGUCAGAUGGUAGAGGCGGUUGGGCUCCAGGGUCAGGAUUUUGCAUCAGAUGCUCUCAAGUGGAAAUGGCUGGGGGUUCCACCGCGAGGAGAAAGAUCACUCUGCUGGCAGCAGCCAGGGACGGGAAAGAAUGUAGGGGUGGCGGUGGGGACUGAGGAGGGGCAAGGCAGUAGCUCAGGGGAGAUGGUAGAAGCCCACCUUGUCAGAAAGGUGGAGAUGAGGUCAGAAAAAUUCAGGAGGUAGAAUGUCAAGAUCAUGCAGGUGCUGACAGACCCAGCGUGCUGAGGCAGGGAGAACAGAGGCCUGCGGGGUCCCCACCGCUUCAGGAAGAGCAUCUUGUCGAUCCAGAGGUGGGCUCAGUCCUAACACCUCCCUGCAGCUCAGUGGAGCCAAAGUCCCGCCCGCAGAUUCCUGGGCUCACAGAAGACCUGGGGUGCGGCCGGGGGGGGGGGGGGCACCGAGGGAGGGCUGGGGGCCAGGUGUCUGCUUCUGUGCACAUCAAGGAGAGAACCAGACCUUUUGGGAAGGUCUCUGGUUUCGUCCAGAGGAGCGUCAGCCCUUCUCCCAUCUGUCUUUCUUCCUUCACUCUCCCAUUAACCUGGUGGGGGGGCCUUCCCCCGACUUUUUUUCCACUUUAGCCUCCUCUUCUGUAUUGUUUUGUGUUUUUAAACCUCUGUGCCCAGCUCCCAUUAUGGAAAGUGCUGUUUAUGUCCAGGGCCCCUUAAAAAGGCAGCUAACGGCUCCCUGGCUGCGGUCCUCUCUGCUUGUUUCCCUGGCAACCGGAGGCAGGGAAAACAGAACCUGUCAGAUGGAAAAUGUCAGUUACAGCGGAUCUAGGGAGAGAGGAAAGGGGGGGAGUGGGGGGGAGGGAGGAGACGGAGGGAAGGGGCGGGGGAGGGGGUGGGGCAGAGCUGGCAGGACCUCGGGGCUCACCCUGCCGCCCACCCCAGUGGCUCUGCCGAAAAGAGGAAUUGCUUUUUAAAAUGGCUGGGAAAGAGGUUCAGACAGAGCGUUAAUACUAGUCAAAUCAGGCCCCUCGGAAAGGAUGGCGGGGAAGCGGAAACAAUAGAAGGAGGUUGGCUGAGCAGCCUAGGAUAUGAUGGCGGGAACAGCAGUCGGUGACUGCGGCUGGACGCCAAGGAGGUGUGCGCGGGGCUCCGGAGAGCAGGGCGAGCGCGGGAGGGUGUGCGCGUGUGCGCGCUCGCGCGCGUGGGUGGGUGGUGGGCAUGCGCUCUCCGCGAUCUCCCGCUGUUGUCCUCAGAAGGUCCUGGAGCCUCCCCAAUCUGCUGAUUUCCAGGGAGAAACUCCGGCCCUCCCUGGGCCCAGUGGACCCGAGAGAGACUCGAGAGAAGACAGGCUGCCGCCCGCACUGUGUGCUUGCGUUGCUAUUCGGAUGGUGUUUAUUUAAAAUAAAAUAAUUUUUAAAACCCA